AUUGAACGCUGGCGGAAUGCUUUACACAUGCAAGUCGAACGGCAGCACGGGGCAACCUGGUGGCGAGUGGCGAACGGGUGAGUAAUACAUCGGAACGUGCCCAAUCGUGGGGGAUAACGUAGCGAAAGUUACGCUAAUACCGCAUACGAUCUACGGAUGAAAGCGGGGGAUCGCAAGACCUCGCGCGAGUGGAGCGGCCGAUGUCAGAUUAGGUAGUUGGUGGGGUAAAGGCUCACCAAGCCAACGAUCUGUAGCUGGUCUGAGAGGACGACCAGCCACACCGGAACUGAGACACGGUCCAGACUCCUACGGGAGGCAGCAGUGGGGAAUUUUGGACAAUGGGCGCAAGCCUGAUCCAGCCAUUCCGCGUGCAGGAUGAAGGCC
rnacentral:rRNA from 1 species